rnacentral:lncRNA from 1 species
ACAAAGUCACUAGUAUCUUUGGACACGAUGGAGGAAUAAGCAAUUUUGUUCAUGAGAAAAGAGUAGAACAAAAAUAUAUCACCAUCACCGUCGUAAUCGUCAUAAAGGGAGCACUGGCCUAAAACCCUACAUCUAUUGUAAGAACCUCAUCUCACACCUUCGCAAAAACUCACUAUAGAAAAUAAAGCAAAGAGAAGGAGUUUGUACCUGAGUAAAGGUUACGAGCGAGGGGACGAUAAGGGAAAGUAACUCAGACAAACUUGCAGAAAGAA